CACAAGAACGCACUACAGCGUCCCCAAUCACUAGUGCUCUAGUGAGGGAGAGUUUAACUGGCGCCCGAGCAGGGACCCACAUUCUUCACGGAAAUAAAGGGAAAUGGUGACGUGUCAAUAAUUAUACUAAAAUAACUUAUUAGAAAAGCAAGUACAAAUUAAUUGUUCCAAUCCAAUUGGGCAAUUGUUGGGAUAAUUACGAAGAACUUUUGUGAUUUGCAAACAAGUGUUGCUGCACUAGAGAAUUCUAUAACAGAAAAGAAAUCGUGGCUAAAUAGUGGUAUUGGCAAUACCUAGGUUCAAAUCCGUGCCGAGACGAUUCUAAAACGAAA